rnacentral:lncRNA from 1 species
AGGUUUGAGCCAUUCUGACCUUUUAAGAUUUUUCUCUGACUUUUUUUUUUUUUUUUAUUUGCUGUCUGAAAAUGUGCUGUUUCUACUUUUAAGGAGAAACAAGACUACAGUUGUGAUAAUGGCUGUGUAGCUGGAGUACGUUGGAGGUAAGCUGUUGGUGGUUAUAGGGACGGAAGGAGGCUUGCGAUUCUCAGGUUCAGGCUCUCCCUUAGAGGAAAUAGAAGCUGCUUCGCCACCAGACAGGAGAGUGGGAAAGCUGAGGUGCAGACCUUGCUUUGCCUGGUUCCAGAGACUUCUCUCCCAGCGGUUGAGAAACUAUUGAGUGGAACUGCACUUUUCCGACAGCUGAAAGGAAAAUGCCAUUGUAGCUGCUUUUGGGUCACAGUGUCUUCUUUGAAUGGGCAUGAAGCCCAGCUCCCUGUCACAGACCUCAGCCGCUGAAGGACUCUACCUUCUGAAAGCCUGACUAUGUGAAACAUGAUUCAGCUUUCUCUGUUUCAUCACAACAGACGCUGUUUUGUGAGUGUUGACUAUUAUUGUCUAGUCCUAUUGUCCUUUGCAGCUGGGGACCUAUGGCUCUUUUGGCCUGGUUAUGGCAAACCUCUUGCAGGGAACCCGCUCUUCCUUGUUGUGACUUAAGCACCUUUUGCUGCUCUAGGACUGAUGCUCAUGACCCUGUCCUCUUCCCUGUCAUACCCACAGGAUUACAGUUGCCCGAGAUGUUGACUGUAUCACAGAAAGCCCACUGCUAGUGAAAGCAGAUUGUCUCUAAAGAAGGGACAUGGUGGCAUGCAGAAUCUCACAGGGAAGCUAUAAAAAUGGGAGAAGGGGUAGCCUGGGCUCAGGAGAGAAGGGGAAGCCUGGGCUUAGGUCUUCCUUAUGGUUUCCAUAGACUAACAAGCCCGGACAGGGAACAGUGCAGGGCUCGUUCGUUGGGAUGUUAGUGGCUUCUAGGCUCCAGACACUGUAUAGUUGCCUAUGGUUUGGCCUUGGUGACUUGGGGCAGGGGACAUAUGUGUUGAAUAUGUGAGAGGAGGGUAUGGAGACUCUGGAUUGCUGGCCCGAUGGAAAGCACUUUGACCAUCAGGUUGUCCCUGUCAUUAACGGAAGGCUAAGAAGCAUGGAACAGCUGCCGUGUUUCAGUUUCUCAAAGUUAGCCAGGCAUGGUAGAUGGUGUCUGCUGCAUGCUCUGUAGAUGUCUGGAGGAGGGCAUUUAUUAUUUUAUGAGCAGUGAGCUCUAUCUUAUUUUGAGCUCUUCUUAUGAUUUUGGACUUAUGGUAAAGACUAGAUAUUUUCAUAACUAGAAACAAGGCUCCUUUGUUUGAAACCCUGUAGAUUCUUAGUGACGGCUUUCUUGACUUGGGGUGAAUCCUUCUCUCUCUCUCUCUCUCUCUCUCUCUCUCUCUCUCUCUCUCUCUCAUUCUUCCUUGGUAGUUGGAAACCUUUCCCAGUUUAAAUAAAGCCCAAACACCAUCUGUGUGAUAUCCUUGUAUAAGUCGUCAUUUAUAUAUUUACAUAUUUAUUAUCUUACAUUUUAUGUUAUUAUUUGGAGAGGUUCUCACUCUGGCUGCUCCGGAGCUUACUAUAUAAACCAGGCUAGUCUUGAACUCAGGGAUCUGUUUGCCUGCCUCUGCCCUCUGCCUUCCAAGUGCUGGAGGGUAAAGGUGUCCACCAUGCUCGGCUUCAAGUCGCCAUUUCCUGCCACCUCCUGUAAGCUUAAGUCUGGUGUCCUUCUGUAUGUCCAGGGUGGCAAUCACAUUGCUGGAUUUUCUCCCUUGUGUAUUUUUUUUCCCUACUUUUGGCAUAAUUCUUUGUUUUCUUGCCUGUGGUCCAGCGUCUAGCAUCAUCCAAGCAUGUGCUCAGCGGGUGUGUCUGGAGGUGACUUUGUCAAGUGUCAUCUGUGGGACUAGCAUUUCGUUACUGUUCACCUGCUGAUGGAAGGCGAGACUCUAUAGGUGAGGCUAUCUGUUGAAGGAACGGAAGCCUCGUGAGGCAUUCUAUCCAACAGGCCCUUCUAAGCUUUUGUGGGACCAGUGGAGUAGUCCAGUUCUUAGAGGUAGGUACACUGAGGCAGGGGUUAGGAUAACUGGGCUGGAGAGUAAAUACCGACUCAGAAGCACUUCAACCUAAUCUUGCCUAUAGAUGAGGUGAAAUUAUAUUUCUAUUUGAAUACAAAUCUCACACACAGCACUGAAACAGUUCAGUGGUAUGAGCAGUUGAACAAGGACC